GGGGAUAUAGCUCAGUUGGUAGAGCUCCGCUCUUGCAAGGCGGA
rnacentral:tRNA from 1 species